UUGGUGAGGGAUGAGUUGCACCCUCAGUCAGGGGGCUGGUUGCAGUGGCACAGGUGUCCCGUACCUCUCUGGGGACACACCAAUGUGCACAUGGGCCAUCUGACUCACC